CACGUAGGCGGCGCCGCAAGUCAGGGGUGAAAUCCCGGGGCUCAACCCCGGAACUGCCCUUGAAACUGCGGUGCUAGAAUCUUGGAGAGGCGAGUGGAAUUCCGAGUGUAGAGGUGAAAUUCGUAGAUAUUCGGAAGAACACCAGUGGCGAAGGCGACUCGCUGGACAAGUAUUGACGCUGAGGUGCGAAAGCGUGGGAGCAAACA
rnacentral:rRNA from 1 species